GACAGAGGGUGCAAACGUUGUUCGGAAUUACUGGGCGUAAAGCGCGUGUAGGCGGCCAUGCAAGUCGGAUGUGAAAGCCCUCGGCUCAACCGGGGAAGUGCACUCGAAACUGCAAGGCUAGAGUCUCGGAGAGGAUCGUGGAAUUCUCGGUGUAGAGGUGAAAUUCGUAGAUAUCGAGAGGAACACCGGUGGCGAAGGCGGCGAUCUGGACGAUGACUGACGCUGAUGUGCGAAAGCGUGGGGAGCAAACAGG
rnacentral:rRNA from 1 species